rnacentral:lncRNA from 1 species
UACUCAUCUAUCCAUAAAUAUUCUUGUUAUCCAAAUUUCUAAAUCACAAACCAAAUCUACAAUAUUUCUAAGCAAAAUGAAAAUUUUCCAAAAAUAGCAGUUUUUAAGAAAAUUAUUUAAAAAUACAAUAUAUUGAUAAAAAAUUCUGAAAGAAUACUCAUCUAUCUACAAAUAAUCUUGUUAUCCUUAUUUCUAUAUCAUAAACCCAAAUCUACAGUAUUUCUCAAAAAAAUAAAAACUUUCCAAAAAUAAUAGUUUUUAUUAAAAUUAUUUAAAAAUACAACCUAUUGAUGAAAAACUCUAAAAGAAUACUCAUCUAUCCAAUAAUAUUCUUGUUAUUCUAAUUUCUAAAUCACAAACCCAAAUCUACAGUAUUUCUCAAAAAAAUAAAAACUUUCCAAAAAUAAUAGUUUUUAUUAAAAUUAUUUAAAAAUACAACCUAUUGAUGAAAAACUCUGAAAGAAUACUCAUCUAUCCACUAAUAUUCUUGUUAUCCUAAUUUCUAAAUCAAAAAAUCAAAUCUAUAAAAUUUCUCAAAAAAUGAAAAAUUUCCAAAAAUAGCAAUUUUUAUGAAAAUUAUUCAAAAAUAAAAUAUAUUGAUGAAAAAUUCUUAAAGAGCACUCAUCUAUCCAAAAAUAUUCUUGUUAUCCUAAUUUAUAAAUCACAAACCCAAAUCUACAGUAUUUCAAAAAAAAAAAUGAAAAUUCCCAAAAAUAGCAGCCUUUACGAAAAUUAUUUUAAAAUACAAUAUAUUGAUGAAAAAUUCUGAAAGAAUACUCAUCUAUCUACAAAUAUUAUUGUUAUCCAAAUUUCUAAAUCACAAAGACAAAUCUACAAUAUUUCUCAAAAAAAAGAAAACUUUCCAAAAAUAGCAGUUUUUAUGAAAAUUAUUUAAAAUUACAACCUAGAUGAAAAACUCUGAAAGAAUACUUAUCUAUCCACUAAUAUUAUUGUUAUCCUAAUUUCUAAAUCACAAACUCAAAGCUAUAAAAUUUCUCAAAAAAUGAAAACUUUCCAAAAAUAGCAGGUUUUAGGAAAAUUAUUUAAAAAUACAACUUAUUCAUGAAAAUCUCUGAAAAAAUACUCAUCUAUCCACAAAUAUUAUUGUUAUCCAAUUUUCUAAUUCAAAAACCCAAAUCUACAGAAUUUCUCAAAAAAAUGAAAAACUUCCAAAAAUAACCCUUUUUAAGAAAAUUAUUUAAAAAUACUACUUAUUCCUGAAAAACUCUGAAAGAAUACUCAUCUAUUUACAAAUAUUCUUGUUAUCCUAAUUUCUAAAUCACAAACUCAAAUCAAUAAAAUUUCUCUAAAAAAUAAAAAAAUCCAAAAAUAGAGGCUUUUAAGAAAAUUAUUUAAAAAUACAACAUAUUGAUGAAAAAUUCUUAAAGAGCACUCAUAUAUCCACAAAUAUUCUUUUUAUACUAAUUUCUGAAUC